rnacentral:rRNA from 1 species
AACGAACGCUGGCGGCAGGCCUAACACAUGCAAGUCGAGCGCACCCUUCGGGGUGAGCGGCGGACGGGUGAGUAACGCGUGGGAACGUGCCCUUCUCUGCGGAAUAGCCUCGGGAAACUGAGAGUAAUACCGCAUACGCCCUUUGGGGGAAAGAUUUAUCGGAGAAGGAUCGGCCCGCGUUGGAUUAGGUAGUUGGUGGGGUAAUGGCCCACCAAGCCGACGAUCCAUAGCUGGUUUGAGAGGAUGAUCAGCCACACUGGGACUGAGACACGGCCCAGACUCCUACGGGAUGCAGCAGUGGGGAAUCUUAGACAAUGGGGGCAACCCUGAUCUAGCCAUGCCGCGUGAGUGAUGAAGGCCUUAGGGUUGUAAAGCUCUUUCAGCUGGGAAGAUAAUGACGGUACCAGCAGAAGAAGCCCCGGCUAACUCCGUG